AAAGUUGACUUUACAAUAUGCUGAAGAGUUGAGAGUUGUUCUGUUCCUUCCUCAGUUCCUUUUGUCUUUGCUUUUGGAAUUACCAUCUUCCUAACAGAACCGUUUGUAUCUUCACACCACAACCGUUACCGUUAACCUCACCGUUUACCACCCUCAGAUCCAGGUUUCAGUUUUUUGAAGUUGCAUGUUGAUUUUUUUUUUUGAACAGCAAAUAUAUCAUUAAUAAUAACCGGUCUCUGCACAAGACGAACAGAGGCCGGGAAAAACGAACUACAAAACAAAAGCGCAGUAUAUAAGCGGAAUUUAUUGUGUUAUGUGAUGUGAUGAUUGAGAAUUUUAGAUGAACAAGUUUUUUCAACAAAUGGAGUUACCGUGGCGUUGUCGUUUUGUAUACAAGAUUGAUUGGAGAAGAUUGUUUCUUCUUAUACCUAUUUUUACAGUAUUUUGGUUUGUGCUUCAGAUUUUUGUACAUUGUUAUGUAAUUCCACCAAACAAACACUUGCAUUUUCCUCGCGAAAAUGAUUCAUCGUUGUACCGAUCCUCUAAUAGUACUAUUCAUUCGAAUGAGUUUCUUAAAGGAGAUAUACUUCAAGAGGUUCAGUUCACUCUUCCUUACUCGGUUGAUUCGCCUAAUUCGACUAAUAAGUUUGUUCAAUCGGCAUCAGUUGAGCAAGAUAGUGUAGAAUCUGUAGAUAAUCGGGCGCAACCAAAGAAGGAUAAAAAGGUUGCUAAUGCAAUAGUUUCUUCUGGUAAGCAGACGGACAUUAGGUUGUUGUCACCUACUGAGGCCCUUGUGUAUGCUAAGAAAGAGAUUGAUCAUGCUACUUUUGUGAAUGAAGAUCCUAAUCUUUAUGCUCCUUUAUUUAGGAACAUUUCUGUUUUCAAAAGGAGCUAUGAAUUGAUGGAAACUACACUUAAAGUUUAUAUAUAUCGCGAUGGGGCAAGGCCCGUUUUUCACAAUCCUUACCUUAAGGGAAUCUAUGCUUCUGAAGGAUGGUUUAUGAAGUUAAUGGAGGAAAAUAAGCAAUUUGUCACCAAGGAUCCUGACAGGGCCCACUUAUUUUAUCUCCCAUACAGUGCACGCCAAAUGGAGGUUGCACUAUAUGUGCCUGGGUCACAUGAUUUGAAACCAUUAUCAAUCUUUCUUAGAGACUAUGUAAACAAGAUUGCUGCAAAGUAUCCCUUUUGGAAUCGCACACAUGGAUCGGACCAUUUCCUUGUUGCUUGCCAUGAUUGGGGUCCUUACACAGUGACUGGACAUAAAGAACUAGCCAGAAACACAAUAAAAGCUCUAUGUAAUGCUGAUCCGUCUGAAAGAAUCUUCAUCGCAGGAAGAGACAUUUCCCUUCCAGAAACUACCAUAAGAGAACCAAGAAGACCUCUUAGAUAUCUUGGUGGGAAUAGGGCAUCACUACGUCCAAUCCUCGCCUUCUUUGCUGGAAGCAUGCACGGUAGAGUACGACCCACACUUCUUAAGUAUUGGGGUGGUGAAAAAGACGAAGACAUGAAAAUCUACAAACGUUUACCUUUGAGAGUCUCCAAAAAAAUGAAUUAUAUUCAACACAUGAAAUCAAGUAAAUAUUGUUUAUGUCCAAUGGGCUUUGAAGUUAAUAGCCCUAGGAUAGUUGAAGCCAUAUAUUACGAAUGUGUUCCCGUGAUCAUUGCAGAUAAUUUUGUCCUUCCACUUAGUGAAGUUCUGGACUGGAGCGCAUUUUCUGUGGUGGUGGCCGAGAAGGAUAUUCCUAGGCUAAAGGAAAUUUUAUUGUCCAUUCCUAUGAGAAAAUAUGUUGCAAUGCAUCAUAAUGUGAAGAUGGUACAGAAGCAUUUCCUUUGGAACCCAAAACCAACAAGAUAUGAUCUAUUUCACAUGAUCUUGCAUUCAAUAUGGUUCAACAAGCUAAACCAGAUUUGAACUUUGCCAUAUACUGCUUAAUGGUUGGCUUCACAACAGAAAUUUGAUUAAUUUAAUUUAUUAAUUUCAUGAAUACUUGAUGCGAGGAACCAAACAGCUAGAUGGUUGAUCCUAUGCUAGGAUCUUACAGUUUUGGUACUAAAUUGGCCAUACAUCAUUAAAUAACCUUCUGUUCCAUCGUUGAAUGAAAAACUGACCCUACUUCAAGUACUACUGCUGCCAACAUGCCAUUUAAAGUAAUUCUUUAAACUUAACAUGGUAUCUUUCGCACGCAACUGCAGAGACUAAUACAUUUAAGGGGUUGACUUCUCCCAACAAAUGCUUCUCCAUACGCACCGGCCGGGGAUCGAAUCCAAGACCAAAUGGUUAAGGGACUCAAGUAUCUACCACUUGUGCCACGCUAUGUUGGUAGUUUCUUCGAGGUAAUUUCUUUCUUCUUUUCUUAAUAAAAAAUAUGAAUGUAAGUUUUGUUGUACACUUGUACUUGACUUUCUUUAGCGUGUGUUUGGUUAUGCGUUUGCUACUUCAUUCUCAUGUCGAAUAAUCACCGUA